ACACACACAUAAUCAUCACUAGAAUUUACUUUAAUUUACUUAUGGAAGAGCAGACUCGGCCUGUGCCCCACUAUAGAUUGGUGUGUCCAUUUAAUACAAAAAAAAAUGGAAACUGAACAACCAGAAGAAACCUUCCCUAACACUGAACCCAAUGGUAAAUUUGGUAAAUGCCCUGCAGAAGAUAUGGAAGAGAAACAAGCAUUUAAAAGAUCUAGAAACACUAAAGAGAAGUUUGAAUUACGCAUGCUGCUUCAGAGCAAGUAUGCUGGGCAGUGAUUGGAAAAGGAGGCAAGAAUAUUAAGGCUCUUCGUACAGACUACACUGCCGGUGUUUCAGUCCCAGACAACAGUGGCCCCAAGCGCAUAUUGAAUAUCAGUGCUGAUUUUGAAACAAUCGGAAAAAUUCUGAAGAAAAUCAUCUCUACCUUGGAAGAGGGCCUGCAGUUGCCAUUAACUGCUGCAACCAGCCAGCUCCCACUUGAAUCUGAUGCUGUGUAAUGCUUAAAUUACCCACACUAUAAAGGAAGUGACUUUGUGCGUUGAGGCUGUUGAUUCAUCAGAUCUAGCAGGAGGAAUUAUUGGGGUCAAAGAUGCUAAAAUCAAAGAACUUUGAGAGAACACUCAACCAACCAUCAAGCUUUUCCAGGAAUGCUGUCCUCAUUCCACUGACAGAGUUGUUCUUAUUGGAGGAAAACCAGAUAGGAUUGUAGCGUGUAUAAAGAUCAACCUUGAUCUUAUAUCUGAGUCUCCCAUCAAAGGAUAUGCACAGCUUUAUGAUCCAAAUUUUUAUGAUAAAACCUAUGAUUAUGGUGGUUUCCCAAUGUUUGAUGACUGCCAUGGACACCCAGUGGGAUUUCCGAUGCGGGGAACAGGUGGUUUUGACAGAAUGCCUCCUGGUUGAGGUGGGCGUCCCAUGCCUCCAUCUAGAAAUUAUGAUGAUAUGAGCCCUCAUUGAGAACCACCUCUUCCUCCUACCAGGUGUGGCUGGGGUGGUAGCAGAGCUUGGAAUCUUCCUCUUCUUCCACCACUACCACCUAGAGAGGGAGACCUAAUGGCCUAUGACAGAAGAGGGAGACCUGGAGACUGUUAUGACAGCAUGGCUGGUAUCAGUGCUGAUGAAACUUGGGACUCUGUAAUAGAUACGUGGAGCCCGUCAGAAUGGCAAAUGGUUUAUGAACCACAGAGUUGCUCCACAUAUGAUUAUUCCUAAUAUGAUUAUUCCUAUGCAGAGGGUUGUGGCUCAUAUGGUGAUCUUGGUGGACCUGUUAUUACUACACAGGUAACUAUUUCCAAAGAUUUGGCUGGAUGCAGGCUGGAUCCUGGAUUGUUGGCAAAGGUGGUCAGCAGGUUAAACAAAUUUGUCAUGAGUCGGGAGCUUUGAUCCAAAUUGAUGAACCUUUAGAAGGAUCCACAGAUCAGAUCAUUACCAUUACAGGAACACAGGACCAGGUGCAGAAUGCAUAGUAUUUGCUCCAGAACAGUGUGAAGAAGUAUUCUCAAAGUUUUUCUAAGACUAGUGAAGAACUGAAGGAGUCCUGUAUCUUUUUUUUUUUUUUCUUUGAUCUGCUUCUGUUUAAAAAGCCAGCAUUCCUCUGCUUCACAGGUAUUCUGCAUUUGAAGUAUAGUGAAAUCUUUGCUGUUCAUCAGAUGCAAUGUUUUAGUUCCUUACAAACAGGGUUGGGGGUGGGAGGAAGGACAUGCACAAGUAACACUGAAAUUUUGAAACAGCAGCAAAGUGAGCGGAUUUUACUUUUUGUUAUUGUUGAUGGUUAAAA